UGGCGACGAAUACCAUUAUCCACAGCAUCUGCAGAUAUGGCGCACAUCUGUCUCCCGUGUCGCAAAUCCAACAUUUACUUUUUCAUCUUUUAUUGCCCUUCGAUUCAGCGGUGUGUGAAAUGCAAGUCCCGGGGGAAAAGAACGAGGGAAUAAUUAUAAGUCGCCGUCGUCGCAGUGGGGCUAGCACUCCGAUUUGACGGAGCGCUUCUGAUUUAGAAAACCAGGUAGGCCUAGUCGUCGGGUCGGCGAGUAGCUUAGCUUAGCCUUCGGAAUGGCGGUGGAGUUUGCGGAACAGUUGACUGCGAAGGGAAAUUUGACUGACAUGCUUGACGAGGCCUUCACCCCAGAGCCAUUUGUUCGUUCUGGGCUACCGUACAAAGAUGGCGAUGCAACAUGGCCGCCCCAUGGAGAUAUCAAGCGGCUGUAGAAUCCCACACAGCCUGGGGCGCCCCGGCGGCUCACCGGUCAGAGCGCGUAUCAUAUAGGCUCAGGCCUAAGAUACAGCCACCCGGGUUCGAGUCCUGCC
ensembl:lncRNA